CCCCUCUCCCCAGCUCAGCGGUGCUGUCUGUGUUCCACAAGAAGGCACGGCCUCCAGGGAUGAGAGCCCGCCAGGCUGGGGCCACCUCGCUGGCAUCUGGAGCCCCUAGGACUGUCUUUCCCACCAUCCUCGGGGCCUGGACCAGGAGGUGGCUGGUCGCAGCAGCAGGGUCAAGCUGGAGACGCCUGCCUGAGAAGAUGAGGAUUACCAUGUUUUCCUAGGGUCCCAGCAGGAAAGUAUAUCAAAUUUAAUCUGCGUCAUUUGAAUAUUUAAAUGAAGGCAUUGCUUGUAAAGCUGGGGGUGGGGCUUAGGGAUACCUUGGAGGGAGCUGGCAGUGCUUGGGGGCUAGUGAAAUGAAAGUGAUAUUAUAACUCUAGGCUUGGGGGCCUGGGGUGCUGGCAUCCCUCACUGUCUAAGCCUCCUCCAGAACUGGCAAAGGAAUCCCACACCUUCUUCCCCGGGCACGGCACAAGGUGGAGAAAGGAUAAAGAAACUUGGUCUCACAUAGUGUGCCUGCUUGAAUCAUAACAUGGUGCGUUCUGACAUCUCUAGAACUUAAAUGUUUGCAGUGCAGA
rnacentral:lncRNA from 1 species